UACUACUACUCUUGUUGUCCUUUUUUAGUUGUUGUUUACAUGCCCCCAUCAUGUAUCUUGUUCUCUUGUGACCGAUGCACUGUCUGCCGUGAAAUGCCAUGAUCUGCCUUCGUGUUGAAGAUCACAAGGACACCGCUAGCCUGGAGUCACAUUCACAUUUGACCACAGGGAAAAUAUUGAACACAGUGAACCGUCGCUAAUUGUGGAGGUUAAUGACAAAGCGCAGAAUUAGAAUUGCUGAAAGAUGCCGCAAGAUUUCGACAAAGGACUACUUUUGUCUUUUGCCCCCAAAAUCCCGCUUCACAGUCAUGAAUGACAUCCAAAUGAAAUCAAAUAGGUCGUCGUCCAACAACUGAAAAAUCCAGUUUGAUCAAAAUAGUACCGGUAUACACCAAAUGGCGCCCAAGGCACUUUACAAGGCCUCACAUUCGCCGAUUGCUUUUCCACGGCCACUCAAAUCCCAAAUCAAAUUACCGCCAAUUCAGCCGUAUUAUGUAUAAGUGUAUAGUAAUGUUUGUUUGGUACCGAGAUGCCAUAAGAUAAGCACAAAAACAGCUAAUAAGUGUGUUUUUAGAGCGGGAUAGGUUCACCCUAAAAAUCUGUGAUGAGGUGAAGCUGUACGUACUGGAGGCAGUGUAGCCAUCAGAAUUGCUGCGGAAUCUUCAAAAUAACAAAUACAAGUAAAUUAGUACAAUUUCAUGGAACAUGUACUAGCUAUGAAGUUGUACACGUUAGGGCAGUGCUUCAGGUAGUGUUCAGGUCAGCACAGAAGGUCUUGCUGAAUGCGCAUGAGUCAUGUUUUUGAGACCAGUGUAAUUUGCAAGCAUUUCUCUGUUGACAGCGUUUCUUAAUAAAGUGCAUUGCCGAGGGUUUGAAA